rnacentral:rRNA from 1 species
UGGGGAAUUUUGGACAAUGGGCGCAAGCCUGAUCCAGCCAUGCCGCGUGAGUGAAGAAGGCCUUCGGGUUGUAAAGCUCUUUCAGCCGGGAAGAAAAGGUUGCGACUAAUAAUCGUGAUCCAUGACGGUACCGGAAGAAGAAGCACCGGCUAACUACGUGCCAGCAGCCGCGGUAAUACGUAGGGUGCGAGCGUUAAUCGGAAUUACUGGGCGUAAAGGGUGCGCAGGCGGUCUUGUAAGUCAGAUGUGAAAUCCCCGGGCUUAACCUGGGAACUGCGUUUGAAGCUACAAGACUAGAGUGUAGCAGAGGGGGGUGGAAUUCCAUGUGUAGCAGUGAAAUGCGUAGAGAUAUGGAAGAACACCGAUGGCGAAGGGUGCCCCCUGUGCUAACACUGACGCUCAGGCACGAAAGCGUGGGCAGCAACCAGGAUUAGAUACCCUGGUAGUCCACGCCCUAAACGAUGUCAACUAGUUGUCGGGCCUUCAUAGGCUUGGUAACGUAGCUUACGCGUGAAGUUGACCGCCUGCGGAGUACGGUCGCAUCAUU